GGUGUUGUUGUGAGAAGUUCAUUAAACCUUAUCAUUUAGAGGAAGGAGAAGUCGUAACAAGGUUUCCGUAGGUGAACCUGCGGAAGGAUCAUUG
rnacentral:rRNA from 2 species